GGGGAAGCGUCCAGCGAGUCCUACUAUGGUCUGCCUGCGAGGUGGCGUCAUUGGGGAAGCGUCCUGCGAGUCCUGCCAUGGUCUGUCUACGAGGUGGCUGCACUGGGGAAGCGCCCAAGGCACAUCGUGUUUCAAUGAGAAGGAAAACCCUUAAAGAGAACAAAAGAAAAAGGAAAUGACACCCCAGAAAAUUGCAACGUGAAAACAAAGCGGCUGAACAGCAAGAAGUGCAGUGACCUGAUAUUGCUGGGUUUGCCUUGGAAGAGCAGACGAUGACUUGAAGGCCUACUUCUCACAGUUUGGUGAAGUCAUCAUGGCACAGUUCUUCAUCAGUCUCAGUUUGAUACACGCGUCGUCACUGGACUAGAAUACUAGGAGCUACUACCCCUCAACCUCACCCUCAGUCCUACGGUUGUGGUACUAAGAGGCCAUCGUACAGGCUACGAAAGGGCAGUUUUCCAGAAAUAAUGCCCGAACGCAGAUUCCAUCAAUCCUAGCCUAAAUGUCCAAGAUGUUAUACACUUGAUGGCACUAGCAACGAGCCCCUGUAGCCACUUUCACUGAUAAUCAGACGUCCGAGCAGUCUUUAAGGACACAGCUUGUCUGCAAACAAAUUUACAGAAUGUGGAAUGAUAAUGAAGAGCGAUAUAGUGAAUGUAAGAGGAAUACAGUCUCACAAUGUCCUCAUUUCUCUUGGAUAUUGAGAAUUUUUGCGGUU